AUUACUCAUAUGAUUAUUUUUUUUUCUCAAACCACUUUGUUAUGUUAUAUUAUGAUAGUUUAGAACACUGUACAUUUAUAUCUGAAUAGGGCUUGCAAGUGAAUAAAUAAAUAAAUAAAUUAGAGAAAUUUAAAAGUUUUUCUCGGUAUUUUAUCUACAUAGUUAAUGUUUUCCAUGUUAAUAAAUAAAUUAAUAAAAAUAUGUCACAUGCUCUUUUCCGAUUUAUUCUAAGAAUACAUGGCAACACUGUCAUGCCUUCAUUUACUUAUAUCUGUAGCUAACUUCUUGGACCCUAUCUAUCUAUCUAUCCAGAAUUUAAUGAUGCCCAUAUUAUUUACUAAUUCUGUUACUUUCUUUAUGUUGUACCUGUAGAUCGUGUCACAGCGCAGUUGUUCACAUUUCACAAGAUCACAUGUGCGUGCGCCUUGCACAAAUGAAAUGACAUGACAUUAUUGUCAAACACACACACAAGAAAUAUCCUCAAAGCACAGAAUACCAAUAAGGCCGUGCGUCGUGUUAGAUAUGGCAACACCGUCGAGCUGUCAAAUGGAAGGCCUAAAUAAUGGUUCCAUUGAAGGCACAGUUAAACCACACCUCUUUAAAAUUUCAAAAUAACGUUGUUUUUGGGUAUCGUUAUGUACCAUGUUAUGUACCCUCAUCAUUAACAAUAACAUUGUAGCAAUUUGUACAUGAGAAUUUUUUGGAACUUAAGCUGACAUAAUAUCCAGCUAAGUACUGCAGAAACAAAAUAUUUCUUUGAGAUAUUUCUCUUAAAUUAUUAUUUUAAGUUUUCAUAAAUGGUUUAAUAUCUAUUUCAUCAUUACUUUCAUUAGAUAUACAUUUUUAAAUGCUCCAAAUGAUAAAUCUUUCAUUUACUGUACCUAUUUUCCAAAUGUAAAUUGUAGUAUUAAUUAGUAAAAAGACUUGUUCG
rnacentral:lncRNA from 1 species